rnacentral:rRNA from 1 species
GACGAACCGUACGAACGUUAUUCGGAAUUACUGGGCUUAAAGGGUGCGUAGGCGGUGCGGCAAGUUGGGUGUGAAAUACCUCGGCUUAACCGAGGAACUGCAUUCAAAACUGCCGUGCUUGAGUGAGACAGGGGUAAGCGGAACUUAGGGUGGAGCGGUGAAAUGCGUUGAUAUCCUAAGGAACACCGGUGGCGAAAGCGGCUUACUGGGUCUCAACUGACGCUGAGGCACGAAAGCUAGGGUAGCGAACGGG